CGUGCCAGCAGCCGCGGUAAUACGAAGGUCCCAAGCGUUAUUCGGAAUCACUGGGCGUAAAGGGAGCGUAGGCGGCGUGGUAAGUCAGAUGUGAAAUCCCGGGGCUCAACCCCGGAACUGCAUCCGAUACUGCCAUGCUAGAGGAUUGGAGAGGUAGCUGGAAUUCUUGGUGUAGCAGUGAAAUGCGUAGAGAUCAAGAGGAACACUCGUGGCGAAAGCGAGCUACUGGACAAUUCCUGACGCUGAGGCUCGAAGGCUAGGGUAGCGAAAGGGAUUAGAUACCCCUGUAGUCCUAGCAGUAAACGGUGCACGCUUGGUGUGAGGGGAAUCGACCCCCCUUGUGCCGGAGCUAACGCGUUAAGCGUGCCGCCUGGGAAGUACGGUCGCAAGACUAAAACUCAAAGAAAUUGACGGGGACCCGCACAAGCGGUGGAGUAUGUGGCUUAAUUCGAUGCAACGCGAAGAACCUUACCAAGGCUUGACAUGCAUCUCUAAACACGUGAAAGCGUGUGACCCUUCGGGGAAUUUGCACAGGUGCUGCAUGGCCGUCGUCAGCUCGUGUCGUGAGAUGUUGGGUUAA
rnacentral:rRNA from 1 species